rnacentral:piRNA from 1 species
GUAGAAUAUGUGUUAUGUGAUGGACC